CUGGUCAUAUUUUUUGAGACAUUUGCUAUUUGUAAAGGAAAUAAGGAUUAAUUAAUGCCACAAUUAUUCAUAUAUUGUAAUAAUCAGUGUGAUAUGUAUAUCCACGUGGCUAGUUCACAUGGAGAAAUAUUUGACCUAUUUCUAGCACAACCAAACUUAAAAGAUAGGAUAAAGAAGGAGAGGCCAACUACCUACACACAAAAUGAAUAUUCAGCAUAUUGAAAUGGACAAGCACUUGCAGAUUCACACAAAACAAGAUCAACAUUAUCACCAAAGUCUUCUAGCCAAGAAAAUUUUCAGACCAAGAAUCAUGGCAACCAAGUUGUUGGAGCUCACAGAAGCCACAGGAAAGACAGACAUGCCUUCUCUUCUCCACCGCCACCACCAAUAGUGCCUUGUUUGGUACCAAAAAAAAGAAAAAAUUGAUUUUUUUUUUGAGGUCCUUCUGAAUAUGCUUACUUUUUGAAUUAUGGUUUGGCAUUAUGAGGACGACAAUUCUUUCUCAUAAUCCAUCCGCCGACCCAUGCCAAGAACUUAUGGUUCGAAAAGCACUUGCUUUUUUGUGUAAUAGGACAGGACCAUCACUUUUUCUGAAAGAAUGUGGUUGCCUUUUAGUUUCUUGCAUGGAUUCUUCUUCUCUGAACAACUUCUCUCCAACAAUCUCCUUCCUUGGAUGCAUAUAAUAAUUUAAAGUUCCUCCCCAUUACCCAGCAUCUGUUUUUCACUUUUUUAUUUGAGAUUACAAUGGUUCAAUAUUUUUGCUCCAAUGAAGAUGAAUAGAUAAAUAUAUAUAUAUAUAUAUAUAUAUAUAUAUGAAAUAAAGUACAAUAUAUAUAAUUCAUCAUAUUUCUUGUUUAACAAAGAAUGGC
rnacentral:lncRNA from 1 species